ACUAAAUAGAUACCCUGGUAGUCCACGCUGUAAACGAUGAUUACUCGAUGUUGGCGAUACACAGUCAGCGUCUGAGCGAAAGCAAUAAGUAAUCCACCUGGGGAGUACGAUCGCAAGAUUGAAACUCAAAGGAAUUGACGGGGCCCGCACAAGCGGAGGAGCAUGUGGUUUAAUUCGAUGAUACGCGAGGAACCUUACCUGGGCUCGAACGUAAGAUGACUGUAGGUGAAAGCUUACAUCUCUUCGGAGCAUUUUACGAGGUGCUGCAUGGUUGUCGUCAGCUCGUGCCGUGAGGUGUCGGGUUAAGUCCCAUAACGAGCGCAACCCCUACCUUUAGUUGCCAACAGGUCGUGCUGGGGACUCUAAAGGAACUGCCUACGCAAGUAGUGAGGAAGGCGGGGAUGACGUCAAAUCAGCACGGCCCUUACGUCCAGGGCUACACACGUGCUACAAUGGCCGAUACAGAGGGCAGCUACCUGGUGACAGGAUGCAAAUCUCCAAAGUCGGUCUCAGUUCGGAUC
rnacentral:rRNA from 1 species